CUAGAAGUCAUGGCACUUUUUAUAUAAUACACUGAAAUUUUUUGAUAUUUAUUUCUGUCAUGUCAACUAGAAAUCCUUUUAUCAGCAAAAAAAUGUCUUAUGCAUAUCAGAAAAAAAUACAUAAUGAAAAGAUUCAGUAAAUAUUUUUAUCAGUUUAUCAUUUUAAUCAUUUACUGGUGAUGCUCAUCUAUAGACAAGAUCAGCAUGUAUCCAAAAAUGUAAGAAAAUAUUUGGGAGAAAAACAUAAUCUUGAGAAAAUUCUGUCCAUAAACUUACUUUAAUUCUGUGGAUUGGUAAAAUGUGAAUUGCCAUUGUAUGAUUUUAAUUGGUGCAUCUCAUGGAAAAAUGUUCUUUGUGAACACAGUUUGCAAAUACCAAUGUCAUAAUUAUGAACUUCUUUCUCUCUGUAGGGCCUGUAAAGUAUAUUCAAGUAGCAUGUGAACCAAAAAUUUUCAGUUAAUUUAAAAAUAUAUUUGUCACAAAAUUGUUUUUUGUUUUCCUGAGGAAAAUUCGCCUUGAGCUAAUAUCUGUUGCCAGUCAUCCUCUAUUUUCUUUUUUUUUUCCACAGUAAAACCUGAGAUAUUUUGGCCCUGAAGGAAUAGGUAAGACAACUCACUUGAGAACUAUUAAGUAGGCCAAUUGAAAUAAUGAAAAUCCAUCGUUACUUUGCAUUAUUGGUAUCAUAAAGAAAUCCUUGUUUUUGAAAAGUAUUAUGCCUGAGAUAGUUCAUAAAGAGUAUAAUGAAACAAAAAAAAGUAUUUUUUGAUGGCAGUUCAAAUGCCCCUCAUAGUCAGUACAAAGUGAUCUGGAAGAAAACCAAAAAACAAAUUCUGUAAAUCAUGCAUCUUUGUAAAAAGAGUGAUGGUUUCUCUGUUGCCUUGCAUUAUAUUUCAAAUUUUGGUGGAGCUACAUUAAUGGAUCAGAAGCUAUCGCAACCUUGGGCAAACCACUUAAAUUUGGGGGGCUUAGUUUCUUCUAAAUGAGGGGCGAAUACUUGUUCUAUGUACUUCAUAGUGUUGUUGAAAUGAAGCUGAAAGCAUUUGUAAACUGCAAAAUGCUAUAGCAAUGCUGGUGGCAUAUAUUAGUUCAUAUCAGUUUAGAAGAAAAUUGUUCAAUUGUUAAGUCUAUUCCUAUCUUAGCUACCAUAUUAGAUAAUACUACUUUACAUCAGGGGUAACAUGCUGGUGAGGUGAAAAUACUCCAAGAUUAAUUAAACAACAAAGUCCUUGAAACAUAUGUACAAAUUAAAAAUAUAUAUAUAAUGACUAUUAAGAAUGUAAUAGGAUGUCUGUGAAAAUUGUGAUUUACCAUUACAUUUCAAAUUUCUGAAGUCUAUGUAAACAAAAUUAUUUGAUCACAUUUUCCUCUGAAGUGGCCAAACUAUCAAAAGACCGUCU
rnacentral:lncRNA from 1 species